UACGUAGGGCGCAAGCGUUGUCCGGAAUUAUUGGGCGUAAAGAGCUCGUAGGCGGCCUGUUGCGUCCGCUGUGAAAUCUCGGGGCUUAACCCCGAGCCUGCAGUGGAUACGGGCAGACUAGAGGUAGGUAGGGGAGAAUGGAAUUCCCGGUGUAGCGGUGAAAUGCGCAGAUAUCGGGAGGAACACCGGUGGCGAAGGCGGUUCUCUGGGCCUUACCUGACGCUGAGGAGCGAAAGCGUGGGGAGCGAACAGG
rnacentral:rRNA from 1 species